rnacentral:misc_RNA from 1 species
CAACCCCUCAAGCCCUGCUUGGUGUUGGGGCCCCUACGUGCGCCGUAGGCCCCGAAUUCCAGUGGCGGGCUCGCCGCGAACCCGAGCGUAGUAGCUUUUGCCUCGCUCAGGGCCCGCGGCGGGCGCCUGCCGUGAAAGAACACACUAUUCUAAA